UACAACUGGUGUCUUUGCUUACAUUCUCUUUACAAUUUGAUGGAUGUCGAUUCAUCAAAGUGCACGUACAAAUGUCGAGGUUCAAAUGAUGUUGUAUGUGGAGAAAGAUCUCAUUAUACAGUAUAUAAGCACAUUACUGGAAAAUUCAAACCCAAAGGUGAUGUCGAUUCAAAACUUGCCUGUUCUGUUGUUAUGCCUCGAAAUAACAAAUUUGUACUGAAAGCUGUUGACUGCUCUUUAAAAUACUGGACAACAUGUGUAAUAUCUAGAGUUACUAGACAAAUGGAAUUCACAGACACUUAUCAGUCGGCAAGUAGUAGAUGUUCCUUGUUAAAUGGGACAAUACUUAGCACCACCGACAAUCUUGAUAAACUGGAGGAUGGAAGAGAGUACUGGUCUAAUGUCUUUAGAUCCAAGUUUCUGAAAUGGACAACUAAUGAAUCAUUCGAUAAAAUCUGCUGUAGGUUUAUAUGUAAAUAUGUGCAAAACAAUUGUUGCAUUCAAUUCGAAUUGUUCGUACCACUCUAGCCUCUGGUAGUGAUUAUGUGAACGAUUAUGGUUUUCAUUAAUCAUCUGAAGUAGAUGGAUUGUUAAAUGUUGAUUGUGUAUAUUUAACAGUGGCAUACAGGGAGGUUAAGUAUAUUCCAUUGCCUUGUAAAUACAAGUACACGGCCAUCUGCAAACCCCAACAACCAGGAGAUAAAGCCGUCAUUAGACAGUGUCUAACUAACAAUGGUACCACCACAAUUACAAGAGAUCAAUCAGAACCAGAACACAGUAAUAAAUCAUCAAGCAAAGCAGAUCCCACUCCAACAACUCAAAGCACCGAAACAGUGUUUUUAACAUCAUCGCUGGCGACCAUGUCAACACAUUUCGUACCGAUGACUUCAGACUAUACAAAUCCUGUCACCCAAUCUUCCCAAAAGUCCGGGUCAACAAAUUUUGUUUCAACGAAUUCAGAUUAUAUCGACUCUUUCAAUCCAUCUAUCUCAAGUAAACACUCGUCUGUAUGGUCUAGAUCGACUGCUCUUUUUGUUUCCUCGUCGCAAACAAGCAUAAGUGAUAAAACUGUCGGUAUACAUAUGGAAUUAACUACCUUAGUUCCACAAAUGGAUAACGACAACAGGACAGUGGCAAAUGAAACUACAAAUGAUGGUUUUAUUUAUAGUGUCAUUUUUUCAUUAGUUCCAGCUUCUGUUGCAUUGGCCGUUCUAAUAAUAAUGGCAGUACUUAUAACUGUAGUAAGAAGACGAAGAAGGGAGAAAGCUCAUCCAGAAAGCAAUGGACUUCAAAUCGAGCUUGGUGCACUACAACCGAUUAUUGAAUAUGAAAAGAAGUCAUACGAAAACCAAAGGAAUUAUUGGAAGACACAAGAUAGAGGCAAUCCGGAUUGCCAAAUUUAUGAUGAAGCUAACGACCAAUAUCAACAUCUUGAUUUUAAUGUACAAAAUAAAGAGCCAACAUGUUUCGAAGCAGAAUAUGGUUAUGCUAUGGCAACAACGUCGUUUUUGAAGCCAGACCAAAAGAAUCCAACCACCAACAGUGCAUUAAAAAUCCCUAUGACAAAACGUGCAAAAAUGCUAAGAACAUCAUUACAUUUUCUCCAAGGCCCGUUUACAAAGCAGAGGUCUGAAAAAGAAAAUGUGGCAUAUUGUGACACUGCAAUAGUUCACACCAAAUUCCUGUAUGACACACCACACCAAUCUAUUAAGCAUGUCAAUAAACAUUAGUACAUUGUAUUCAGUCUCAGUGAUUACAAAAGCAUGCGUGUGCCAUCGAAAGCAAUGUUAUUUUGAAUCAGGAGCUAUUUUGAAAUACAAAUUUUAUUCUUUUUAAAAAAGGAUCUGUUUACCGUUCCGGAGCACCUGAUAUCACUCUCAUAGCGGAGUUUGCUUUGCUCAGUUCUUAGUGUUCUAUGUAGUUAUGGACUGCUGUUUGUCUUUUUGUCGCCAUCGAUUAUGCCAUAGUAAUUUCUGUAUUUUUAAGACUUGUAAUGUUUGUAUAGUUCCUUUGGUGUUUUUUUAUCUGUUUUAUUUAAAGACUUUCAUAUUAUACCUUAUCUACAUUUGUUUCAAUUUAAUGCAUUGUACAUGUUCCAUAAUGUUCAAUAGCGGAUGAUAAAGAUUAAGUCUGACAUUAAUUAAAAAAAUAAUAUUCAGUACGUUUGGUAUUAUAAAGGUUUAAAGGAACAUUGGAACGUUUUAAAUGUUUUCAUCAAUAUUGUGCUUGCUUGCAUGAAAAGGAUUUUAGAGGCCAACUUUUACAUUAUCAAAAUUGAUCAAGAUACUUGUAUGAGUGUUCUGAAGCUUUGAAAUUCAUUUUAAUGAUAAUGAAUUAACAUUCUCCUUUACUCUGUGUGUGUGUGUGUUUUUUUAUUUAUUUAUUUUUUUUUGCGAAUUUUGAAUUUUAAUUGGCGCAUGCAUUAUUUAUUUUCCUAAUUUUAUGUUCUUCUUAUUAUGUUGAAUAUUUGACCAUUUUGCAGAACAUAUAUAUUUUUUAGAUACACCUAAAAUGUACAUAAUAAACAACCUUGAAGUAUGGCAUUAAUUAUUGUAUAUAUUGUACUUACCAAUCUAAUAAAAAAAUAAAUGCUUUAAUUUUAAAAAGAUACAUGAUUUAAGUAAUAUGUUGUACAACUCAAAUAGAUAUGAACACAUCUGUUACAAAGGUUUAUAAAUAACGCAAGAAAUCUUACAAAUUUCGUUGAUAUCUGUAUCCAGUAAAUGUUAAAACUACACCUGUGAAGUUCUUAUCCUUUAGCUUCAGACGGAGGCUCUUACAACCUUUUAUAAGUUUAUAAAAUUUUCGGACAAAGUUUAUGCUUAUAGCAGAAUUAAAUAUUUCUGAAGUGUGAAAAAUCCUUGAAGGUUUUUCGAAUAAACAAAUUUCAUUGAAGAUCCGUUUGUCUCCUUCUACGGGAAUCACACCGUGCUUGUUCAAACGACCUGUAUCGGUUCUGUUUCACCUGAAAGAUACGAUCCGUACACAGCUAUUAACUUACAGAUAAAGAGCGUGCCAGGAAGUUAGUAUGUUAUUCAUUUUCUCCCAAUUGAUUUGGUUUAAUAAAUUGGGGUUCCGUGUUACAUUGUAAAUCUAAAUAGGCGGUGUUUGUGCUUCAAUGUUAUAUUUUGAGUGUUUUUAAUUUAGAAUUUUCGUGAUCACAAAUAUUAUAUGUAUGUAUGUUUGUAUGUAUGAAUAAUUAUUGAAAAUAAAUUGUUUUA